rnacentral:lncRNA from 1 species
AUUAUAAUCUUUAAUUGCUAUAUAUAAAGAAACAAUCUCAUGGAUAACAUCUUCAAAAGAUAACAAACAACCAUCUAUGACUUUUACAUAUACGGGUUUAAUUUUCUUAACUAACAAUAUUUCUUAUUUUUUGAUAAAGUCUUUAUUUAUAAAAUAGGCUAAGGCUCUUGAAUCUAACAACGAUAAGACCUUAUAAUAUUUUGGUCCUAAUUAAACUUCUCUUUUAAAAUAAGGCAAGA